AACAGGAUUAGAUACCCUGGUAGUCCACGCCCUAAACGAUGUCUACUAGUUGUCGGGUCUUAAUUGACUUGGUAACGCAGCUAACGCGUGAAGUAGACCGCCUGGGGAGUACGGUCGCAAGAUUAAAACUCAAAGGAAUUGACGGGGACCCGCACAAGCGGUGGAUGAUGUGGAUUAAUUCGAUGCAACGCGAAAAACCUUACCUACCCUUGACAUGGCUGGAAUCCUCGAGAGAUUGAGGAGUGCUCGAAGGAGAACCAGUACACAGGUGCUGCAUGGCUGUCGUCAGCUCGUGUCGUGAGAUGUUGGGUUAAGUCCCGCAACGAGCGCAACCCUUGUCAUUAGUUGCUACGAAAGGGCACUCUAAUGAGACUGCCGGUGACAAACCGGAGGAAGGUGGGGAUGACGUCAAGUCCUCAUGGCCCUUAUGGGUAGGGCUUCACACGUCAUACAAUGGUACAUACAGAGCGCCGCCAACCCGCGAGGGGGAGCUAAUCGCAGAAAGUGUAUCGUAGUCCGGAUUGUAGUCUGCAACUCGACUGCAUGAAGUUGGAAUCGCUAGUAAUCGCGGAUCAGCAUGUCGCGGUGAAUACGUUCCCGGGUCUUGUACACACCGCCCGUCACACCAUGGGAGCGGGUUUUACCAGAAGUAGGUAGCUUAACCGUAAGGAGGGCGCUUACCACGGUAGGAUUCGUGACUGGGGUGAAGUCGUAACAAGGUAACC
rnacentral:rRNA from 1 species